AUGUGGUGCAGGAUAGGAGGCCAAGGGGGUGCUGGACAAGCUGCUUCACCUCCUCCGGAGGAGAGAGCUCGUUGGGGACAGCCGCGUCAAGGAGGAGGACGUCCUGACGCCAUGGCGAUUGUUCAGGGGAAGGGCGUGCUUCUGCUGUACCAGUGCUCCUCCUUGAAGGUCGAGAAUGAGGAGCAGCACCGACGUUCGCCGCGACCGUCAUCGAGCAGGACAAGGACACAGUGUCCGCCCUCCUCCCGGACAGGCGGCUGCAGGGUGCGCCACGUCUGUGGAUCCUGCGGGAGGAGAUCCUCCGCGCCGCCCUGCUCGAGGUGGAACAUCAGAAGGCGAGGGCGCACGUGGGGGCGCUAA
rnacentral:rRNA from 1 species